rnacentral:rRNA from 1 species
CCUACGGGUGGCAGCAGUGGGGGAUAUUGCACAAUGGGGGAAACCCUGAUGCAGCGACGCCGCGUGUGGGAAGACGGUCCUCUGGAUUGUAAACCACUGUCCCCAGGGACGAAGAUGACGGUACCUGGGGAGGAAGCUCCGGCAAACUACGUGCCAGCAGCCGCGGUAUUACGUAGGGAGCGAGCGUUGUCCGGAAUUACUGGGUGAAAAGGGAGCGUAGGCGGGACUGCAUGUUGGGGGUCAAAUCUACCGGCUCAACCGGUAGCCGCACUCAAAACUGCAGUUCUUGAGUGCAGUAGAGGCAGGCGGAAUUCCUAGUGUAGCGGUGAAAUGCGUAGAUAUUAGGAGGAACACCAGUGGCGAAGGCGGCCUGCUGGGCUUAUACUGACGCUGAGGCUCGAAAGUGUGGGGAGCAAACAGGAUUAGAUACCCGAGUAGUC